UGCCGGGCCAACCCAGGUCAUCCAUCCGAGUGACCACAAAACAACGAAGCCCAUCUUCCCCUGCACCAUUACUGGCCUAGAGAAGGUUCCAGAAGAGAGGCUGCAAACCUGUUUCCAGUGAAAGUGGCACCGCCGGGCUCUGAAACCAUCCAUAGGGCAGUUGGACGCGCUGUCUACACAUGGCUCUCCCGAGUGGCAUCUUCCAAGAGCCCUUUGCCGCUCCGGGCCCCUCCCCCGCCGCCUCCCACCCCUGCGAACAGGCCUGUUUCUGAGAGCACUGAAGACGGGAAACACGCGAUCUCGAAUGUGUCUCUUGCACGGUCACACAUUUUUUUCGUUGUGCGUCUUGGCUGAUCCAUGAUUUAAGAUCCCCAGCAACUGUUUCCAGGUCGGUUUUCAAAGUGUUUUUGCACCUUUGACCCCCCCCAACCCCCGCCGCCCCCCCACCCCACUCCUCCCAGCCCUCACUCACCCCGCCCUGAGAAAAAAGAAGACCAGAG
rnacentral:lncRNA from 1 species